rnacentral:tmRNA from 1 species
GGGGAUGACCCGGUUUCGACGGGGAUUGCCGAGCGGGACGUUGCGAGCCGAGGAUGGUCGUGGGCCUCGUUAAUCAUCGACUAAGCCUUCAACUGGCAAAGACAACAGCACCACCUUCGCCUUCGCUGCUUAAGUGAAGCCGCAACCAGACAGCCCGGCUAUUGGCGUUCUGGAAGCGAACAAAAGAUAGCUAGCUUGAGCCGACGCACCUGAGCCCAAGCGAAACCUAAGGUGCUGGGGUCAAAAGAAGCGUGUCCUUGCGCGGCUGAGACCCGAGAUCCAAACCAAGGACUACGCUCGUAGAGACCAACGCAACGAAUCUUCGGACGGCGGUUCGACUCCGCCCAUCUCCACCA